UACGUAGGGCGCAAGCGUUAUCCGGAAUUAUUGGGCGUAAAGAGCUCGUAGGCGGUUUGUCGCGUCUGCCGUGAAAGUCCGGGGCUCAACUCCGGAUCUGCGGUGGGUACGGGCAGACUAGAGUGAUGUAGGGGGAGACUGGAAUUCCUGGUGUAGCGGUGAAAUGCGCAGAUAUCAGGAGGAACACCGAUGGCGAAGGCAGGUCUCUGGGCAUUAACUGACGCUGAGGAGCGAAAGCAUGGGGAGCAAACAGG
rnacentral:rRNA from 1 species